AACACGUGAGUAACCUGCCCUUGACUCUGGGAUAAGCCUGGGAAACUGGGUCUAAUACCGGAUAUGACCAUCUGACGCAUGUCAUGGUGGUGGAAAGCUUUUGUGGUUUUGGAUGGACUCGCGGCCUAUCAGCUUGUUGGUGGGGUAAUGGCCUACCAAGGCGACGACGGGUAGCCGGCCUGAGAGGGUGACCGGCCACACUGGGACUGAGACACGGCCCAGACUCCUACGGGAGGCAGCAGUGGGGAAUAUUGCACAAUGGGCGGAAGCCUGAUGCAGCGACGCCGCGUGAGGGAUGACGGCCUUCGGGUUGUAAACCUCUUUCAGUAGGGAAGAAGCGAAAGUGACGGUACCUGCAGAAGAAGCGCCGGCUAACUACGUGCCAGCAGCCGCGGUAAUACGUAGGGCGCAAGCGUUAUCCGGAAUUAUUGGGCGUAAAGAGCUCGUAGGCGGUUUGUCGCGUCUGCUGUGAAAGACCGGGGCUCAACUCCGGUUCUGCAGUGGGUACGGGCAGACUAGAGUGCAGUAGGGGAGACUGGAAUUCCUGGUGUAGCGGUGAAAUGCGCAGAUAUCAGGAGGAACACCGAUGGCGAAGGCAGGUCUCUGGGCUGUAACUGACGCUGAGGAGCGAAAGCAUGGGGAGCGAACAGGAUUAGAUACCCUGGUAGUCCAUGCCGUAAACGUUGGGCACUAGGUGUGGGGGACAUUCCACGUUUUCCGCGCCGUAGCUAACGCAUUAAGUGCCCCGCCUGGGGAGUACGGCCGCAAGGCUAAAACUCAAAGGAAUUGACGGGGGCCCGCACAAGCGGCGGAGCAUGCGGAUUAAUUCCGCGAAGAACCUUACCAAGGCUUGACAUGAACCGGAAAGACCUGGAAACAGGUGCCCCGCUUGCGGUCGGUUUACAGGUGGUGCAUGGUUGUCGUCAGCUCGUGUCGUGAGAUGUUGGGUUAAGUCCCGCAACGAGCGCAACCCUCGUUCUAUGUUGCCAGCGCGUGAUGGCGGGGACUCAUAGGAGACUGCCGGGGUCAACUCGGAGGAAGGUGGGGACGACGUCAAAUCAUCAUGCCCCUUAUGUCUUGGGCUUCACGCAUGCUACAAUGGCCGGUACAAAGGGUUGCGAUACUGUGAGGUGGAGCUAAUCCCAAAAAGCCGGUCUCAGUUCGGAUUGGGGUCUGCAACUCGACCCCAUGAAGUCGGAGUCGCUAGUAAUCGCAGAUCAGCAACGCUGCGGUGAAUACGUUCCCGGGCCUUGUACACACCGCCCGUCAAG
rnacentral:rRNA from 1 species